rnacentral:rRNA from 1 species
CAGUAGCCGCGGUAACACGGAGGGUGCAAGCGUUAAUCGGAAUUACUGGGCGUAAAGAGUGCGUAGGUGGUUAGAUAAGUUAUGUGUGAAAUCCCUGGGCUUAACCUGGGCAGGUCUUAUAAUACUGUUUGACUCGAGUAUGGGAGAGGGUAGUGGAAUUUCCGGUGUAGCGGUGAAAUGCGUAGAGAUCGGAAGGAACACCAGUGGCGAAGGCGGCUACCUGGCCUAAUACUGACACUGAGGCACGAAAGCGUGGGGAGCAAACAGGAUUAGAUACCCCCGUAGUCCCUGUCUCUUAUAC